GGGAGAGCUCUUUGAUAUUCAUGUGCUGUGACCCCUGCUCUCCACAGAACCCACUGACAGCCAUUCCCAGCAGGGCUCAGGUCUGUUUGGAGGCUGCACACUUUUGUUCUGUAAACAGCAGCAAGCCUUCCAGGAAGCCAAGCUGAGACAGGAAGAGGAAGCCGACAGGUUGCGGCGAGUUGAUCCAGCCCUCUUCUCAUUCGUCCUCCUCUCCUUGCUCUUUUCUCUGUCACCAGUGCAUCUGAAGACAGUGCAGCGAACUGCUGAGCCAGACAUCUUUAAAACAUGCCCUUUAUGAACACACAUUGAUUGAGUCAAGAACCCACUGAAGACAAUCACCAGAGCUGAGACAAUGAACUAAGAAAAAGAUGCAUGUGGCUGUAAUUAGAAGAAAAACAAUUUGCCUGAGCAUUUUAAAAAACCUUUUCAAUAAAUAAGUAUUGAAUGUUAACAUGAG
rnacentral:lncRNA from 1 species